rnacentral:snoRNA from 1 species
AAGCCAUGGUGAGGACAAUCACGUUCGUAGUCCUUAAACCGCUCCCACACGUCAAAGAAUGAUUUGACAUGUCCUUGUUGGAAACUUUUCUUCUUGUUCCU